CCCACGUCCUGGUUAUCUCAAAAUCAAAUAGAGUUCCACUUGACUGCACUAUUUGUUACUGCAGCCAAGGGCGUCUCUCCUUGUUUUCCUAUCCAUCGCCUUAGUGUCAUAAUUUAGCUGAAGGCGCAACAAGUUGGGAAAAACUGAGAUAUGGUACGCGACUCAUUCUCUGCCUCGUCCCUCGCGUUUAUAUUGUUUCGGUAAGAGCAGAGUUUUCUUAAGCAUUUCAAGGGGGAGAAGCAUGUACACGAGUACACUCAAACAUAUAUUUCAUCCUGGUCGGGAUUCCAGCUUCAGACUGCCGGCCCUCCACUUGAGCGUUGGCUGUGUUUACUCUGGACCCGGACCGGGAUUCCCCGUCAAAGUGAAGUAAAGUCAUUUGACAAGUUUUGUCACGUGCGUCACAUGCUGGAAUGCCUCCGCAGUCCCGGUUUCCCAUUGCUGUGAAGCCCUACCCGGGCUUCUGCACAUUUCAAGCAAUUUUGCAGGCAUGCCUUGUUGCUCUGGUUGUUGUCGCCAUUGUUUCAAAAUUGUUGCGCCCAUGCUAGUGUUGUUCUUGUUGUUGACCUGGUUUUCCACUUAUUUUCUUUUUAUUUUCCCUCUUACACAGCAACGUCAAGACGUUCGGAGGUCGGUCUGCCUUGGCAUGGCGCUGAGGAGCUUGGAGCUGGCUGCUGUUUGUUCAAAUGUGUUUGUGAUUAUUUAGUUAUGGCAUCUAAUUGAGUUUUGUGUUUGUUUGCGGCUGUAUGGUGCGCUGCGGGGG
rnacentral:lncRNA from 1 species